GAGGAAUAUUGGUCAAUGGGCGCGAGCCUGAACCAGCCACGUCGCGUGAAGGAUGACGGCCUUAUGGGUUGUAAACUUCUUUUACAGGGGAAUAAAGUGAGUCACGUGUGAUUUUUUGCAUGUACCCUGUGAAUAAGCAUCGGCUAACUCCGUGCCAGCAGCCGCGGUAAUACGGAGGAUGCGAGCGUUAUCCGGAUUUAUUGGGUUUAAAGGGUGCGUAGGCGGGAUAUUAAGUCAGCGGUGAAAGUUUUCGGCUCAACCUUAAAAUUGCCGUUGAAACUGUUAUUCUUGAGUGCAGUAGAGGUAGGCGGAAUUCGUUGUGUAGCGGUGAAAUGCGUAGAUAUAACGAGGAACUCCGAUUGCGUAGGCAGCUUACUAUAUUGCUACUGACGCUGAGGCACGAAAGUGUGGGUAUCAAACA
rnacentral:rRNA from 1 species